rnacentral:tRNA from 1 species
AUUAAAUUAUCAUAUUCAAAUGUUUUAAAUUUAGAAUUUAAAUAAAUAGUAUUUUACUAUAUUUAAUA